rnacentral:rRNA from 1 species
AUUGAACGCUGGCGGCAUGCUUUACACAUGCAAGUCGAACGGUAACAGGCCGCAAGGUGCUGACGAGUGGCGAACGGGUGAGUAAUGCAUCGGAACGUGCCCAGUCGUGGGGGAUAACGCAGCGAAAGCUGUGCUAAUACCGCAUACGAUCUAUGGAUGAAAGCGGGGGACCGUAAGGCCUCGCGCGAUUGGAGCGGCCGAUGUCAGAUUAGCUAGUUGGUGGGGUAAAGGCCCACCAAGGCGACGAUCUGUAGCUGGUCUGAGAGGACGACCAGCCACACUGGGACUGAGAAACGGCCCAGACUCCUACGGGAGGCAGCAGUGGGGAAUUUUGGACAAUGGGCGCAAGCCUGAUCCAGCAAUGCCGCGUGCAGGAAGAAGGCCUUCGGGUUGUAAACUGCUUUUGUACGGAACGAAACGGUCUGGGUUAAUACCCUGGGCUAAUGACGGUACCGUAAGGAUAAGCACCGGCUAACUACGUGCCAGCCGCCGCAGUAAUAC